rnacentral:rRNA from 1 species
CCCUUAGAUGUUCUGGGCCGCACGCGUGCUACACUGAGUAAUUCAAUGGGUAAGGGAACGCUAGAGCAUUACCUAAUCUUGAAAUUUGCUCGUGAUGGGGAUCGACGGUUGCAAUUUUCCGUCGUGAACGAGGAAUACCUUGUAGGCGCAUGUCAUCAUCAUGCGCCGAAUACGUCCCUGCCCUUUGUACACACCGCCCGUCGCUCCUACCGAUUGAGUGAUCCGGUGAGGCUCCGGGACCUGGACGGAAAGAGCGUUUCGCUUGUUCUGUUUGGGAAACUUGGUCGAACCUUAUCAUUUAGAGGAAGGAGAAGUCGUAACA